rnacentral:rRNA from 1 species
CCUACGGGAUGCAGCAGUAGGGAAUCUUCCACAAUGGGCGCAAGCCUGAUGGAGCAACGCCGCGUGUGUGAUGAAGGGUUUCGGCUCGUAAAACACUGUUAUAAGAGAAGAACGGCACUGAGAGUAACUGUUCAGUGUGUGACGGUAUCUUACCAGAAAGGAACGGCUAAAUACGUGCCAGCAGCCGCGGUAAUACGUAUGUUCCAAGCGUUAUCCGGAUUUAUUGGGCGUAAAGCGAGCGCAGACGGUUAUUUAAGUCUGAAGUGAUAGCCCUCAGCUCAACUGAGGAAUUGCUUUGGAAACUGGAUGACUUGAGUGCAGUAGAGGAAAGUGGAACUCCAUGUGUAGCGGUGAAAUGCGUAGAUAUAUGGAAGAACACCGGUGGCGAAGGCGGCAACCUGGCUCGAUACUGACGCUGAGGCGCGAAAGCGUGGGGAGCAAACAGGAUUAGAUACCCCUGUAGUC